GAUGCAGCCAUGCCGCGUGUAUGAAGAAGGCCUUCGGGUUGUAAAGUACUUUCAGUCGUGAGGAAGGCAUUAACGUUAAUAGCGUUAGUGUUUGACGUUAGCGACAGAAGAAGCACCGGCUAACUCCGUGCCAGCAGCCGCGGUAAUACGGAGGGUGCGAGCGUUAAUCGGAAUUACUGGGCGUAAAGCGCAUGCAGGUGGUUAGUUAAGUCAGAUGUGAAAGCCCGGGGCUCAACCUCGGAAUUGCAUUUGAAACUGGCUGACUAGAGUACUGUAGAGGGGGGUAGAAUUUCAGGUGUAGCGGUGAAAUGCGUAGAGAUCUGAAGGAAUACCGGUGGCGAAGGCGGCCCCCUGGACAGAUACUGACACUCAGAUGCGAAAGCGUGGGGAGCAAACAGGAUUAGAUACCCCUGGUAGUCCACGCCGUAAACGAUGUCUACUUGGAGGUUGUGGCCUUGAGCCGUGGCUUUCGGAGCUAACGCGUUAAGUAGACCGCCUGGGGAGUACGGUCGCAAGAUUAAAACUCAAAUGAAUUGACGGGGGCCCGCACAAGCGGUGGAGCAUGUGGUUUAAUUCGAUGCAACGCGAAGAACCUUACCUACUCUUGACAUCCAUAGAACUUAGCAGAGAUGCUUUGGUGCCUUCGG
rnacentral:rRNA from 1 species